rnacentral:sRNA from 1 species
CCGGCAAACAGGCCUGUCCCGGACUGCCAGGUGUCAGACGGAGCGACGGGCCGGCCGCAGCCUCAGCCAUGCGUCCCUCGGCGGCGGGCAGGCUCCUCUUGGCCUGCAGCCUUGCUUUCAUGCCCUUCUUCACAGUGUACUCAGCAUGGCAUAAGGAAAGAGCAGACACGGUUCCUGCCCUCAUAUGCUUACAGUCUACAGAACAGUGCUGGGGACACAGUCCUGAGUGUUGCCUCCUGAUCAGCCACUUACUGACUGCCUGGCCUCAGGAAAGCAGCUGAGCUUAUCUGUUCUUAGUCUCCUGGGAGAUUAAGAUGAGUGACCUAGAGGAGAAGGAUGUUGAUGAAUUCAGCUCCAGUGGUUUUAAGUGCCCAACAUGCUUUGCAGUGCAAGGAAGGAAAUGUGAUACAGAACUCAAAUGGUGUGCAGCAGGUAAAGUGUAUUGAAGUCUCUGGCAUCAUAAACACAGGUAUUCGUGACGUAGCCGUUGAAAUGAAGAGAUGCAUACAAGCAGACCUAUGCAAAGAGACGAUAACUUCUUAGAUGGGUUUUCCAAUUGCUAACAAGAGUAGAAAUUGCAAAUCAGCCAUCAGAAACAGGGCCAGAAUCAGACCCCCAUCUCCCAUCUUCUUUGUUCUUUUCCUGGGAAGGGUACUUCAUGGAGCUCUGGCAAGAGCCUAGCCACUUCCAUUUAUGAAUUAAACCUGCAUUUUUUUGUUAA